rnacentral:rRNA from 1 species
GAUGAACGCUGGCGGCGUGCUUAACACAUGCAAGUCGAACGAAGCAUUUGCGACAGAUUUUUUCGGAAUGAAGUUGCUUAUGUCUGAGUGGCGGACGGGUGAGUAACUCGUGGGUAACCUGCCUUGUACUGGGGGAUAGCAGCUGGAAACGGCUGGUAAUACCGCAUAAGCGCACAAUGUUGCAUGACAUGGUGUGAAAAACUCCGGUGGUAUAAGAUGGACCCGCGUCUGAUUAGCUAGUUGGUGAGAUAACAGCCCACCAAGGCGACGAUCAGUAGCCGACCUGAGAGGGUGACCGGCCACAUUGGGACUGAGACACGGCCCAGACUCCUACGGGAGGCAGCAGUGGGGAAUAUUGCACAAUGGAGGAAACUCUGAUGCAGCGACGCCGCGUGAGUGAAGAAGUAAUUAGUUAUGUAAAGCUCUAUAAGCAGGGAAGAUAGUGACGGUACCUGAAGAAGAAGCUCCGGCUAAAUACGUG